rnacentral:rRNA from 1 species
CGUACACUCCGCGGGAGGCAGCAGUGGGGAAUAUUGGACAAUGGGCGCAAGCCUGAUCCAGCCAUGCCGCGUGAGUGAUGAAGGCCCUAGGGUUGUAAAGCUCUUUCACCGGUGAAGAUAAUGACGGUAACCGGAGAAGAAGCCCCGGCUCACUUCGUGCCAGCAGCCGCGGUAAUACGAAGGGGGCUAGCGUUGUUCGGAUUUACUGGGCGUAAAGCGCACGUAGGCGGACUAUUAAGUCAGGGGUGAAAUCCCGGGGCUCAACCCCGGAACUGCCUUUGAUACUGGUAGUCUUGAGUUCGAGAGAGGUGAGUGGAAUUCCGAGUGUAGAGGUGAAAUUCGUAGAUAUUCGGAGGAACGCCAGUGGCGAAGGCGGCUCACGGGCUCGAUACUGACGCUGGGGUGCGAAAGCGUGGGGAGCAAACAGGAUUAGAUACCCUGGUAGUCC